rnacentral:rRNA from 1 species
GAUGAACGCUGGCGGCGUGCCUAAUACAUGCAAGUCGAGCGAACAGACGAGGAGCUUGCUCCUCUGACGUUAGCGGCGGACGGGUGAGUAACACGUGGAUAACCUACCUAUAAGACUGGGAUAACUUCGGGAAACCGGAGCUAAUACCGGAUAAUAUAUCGAACCGCAUGGUUCAAUAGUGAAAGACGGUUUUGCUGUCACUUAUAGAUGGAUCCGCGCCGCAUUAGCUAGUUGGUAAGGUAACGGCUUACCAAGGCGACGAUGCGUAGCCGUCCUGAGAGGGUGAUCGGCCACACUGGAACUGAGACACGGUCCAGACUCCUACGGGAGGUAGCAGUAGGGAAUCUUCCGCAAUGGGCGAAAGCCUGACGGAGCAACGCCGCGUGAGUGAUGAAGGUCUUCGGAUCGUAAAACUCUGUUAUUAGGGAAGAACAAAUGUGUAAGUAACUAUGCACGUCUUGACGGUACCUAAUCAGAAAGCCACGGCUAACUACGUG